rnacentral:RNase_P_RNA from 1 species
GCAGAGAACCGGCUUGUCGCUUUUUUAAAGAGGAAAGUCCGGGCAACAAAGAGCACCAUACUUUCUAACGGAAAGCUGUUUGUGAAAGCAGAGUUAAGGUAACAGAAAAAAACCGCCUCCCCCGGGAGGUAAGGGUGAAAAGGCGGGGUAAGAGCCCACCGCUUCUUCAGCGAUGAAGAAGGCCGUACCACUUAUGGGUUGCAAGGCCAAGUAUACCGGCGGUUUAGGGUUGCUCGCCCGAUGCCGGAGGGUAGGCCGCUGGAACUUUGUGGCAACACAAGGUCAAGAUAAAUGACAAGCACUUAGCAAUAAGUACAGAACCCGGCUUAUAGGUUCUCUGUUUUU